AAAAGCUUGCUUUUCCUGAUGACGAGUGGCGGACGGGUGAGUAAAGUUUGGGAAGCUACCUGAUAGAGGGGGACAACAGUUGGAAACGACUGCUAAUACCGCAUACAGCCUGAGGGUGAAAGCAGCAAUGCGCUAUCAGAUGCGCCCAAAUGGGAUUAGCUAGUAGGUGAGGUAAAGGCUCACCUAGGCGACGAUCUCUAGCUGGUCUGAGAGGAUGAUCAGCCACAUUGGGACUGAGACACGGCCCAGACUCCUACGGGAGGCAGCAGUAGGGAAUAUUGCACAAUGGAGGAAACUCUGAUGCAGCCAUGCCGCGUGUGUGAAGAAGGCCUUCGGGUUGUAAAGCACUUUCGGAGGGGAGGAGAAUGACGUUACCCUCAGAAGAAGCACCGGCUAACUCCGUGCCAGCAGCCGCGGUAAUACGGAGGGUGCAAGCGUUAAUCGGAAUAACUGGGCGUAAAGGGCAUGCAGGCGGUUAAACAAGUAGGAUGUGAAAUCCCCGGGCUCAACCUGGGAGCUGCAUACUAAACUGUUUAACUAGAGUAUUGCAGGGGGAGACGGAAUUCCAGGUGUAGCGGUGGAAUGCGUAGAUAUCUGGAAGAACACCAAAGGCGAAGGCAGUCUCCUGGGCAAAUACUGACGCUCAUAUGCGAAAGCGUGGGUAGCAAACAGGAUUAGAUACCCUGGUAGUCCACGCCGUAAACGAUGUCAAUUAGGAGCUUGUGCGAUAGUAUGGGUUCCGCAGCAAACGCGAUAAAUUGACCGCCUGGGGAGUACGGCCGCAAGGUUAAAACUCAAAUGAAUUGACGGGGGCCCGCACAAGCGGUGGAGCAUGUGGUUUAAUUCGACGCAACGCGAAGAACCUUACCUGACCUUGACAUAGUGAGAACCUCUCUGAAGGGAGAGGGUGCCUUCGGGAGCUCACAUACAG
rnacentral:rRNA from 1 species